rnacentral:rRNA from 1 species
AGAGUUUGAUCAUGGCUCAGGACGAACGCUGGCGGCGUGCCUAAUGCAUGCAAGUCGAGCGGGCUACGAUCUUCGGAUUGUAGCUUAGCGGCGAACGGGUGAGUAACACGUAGGUAAUCUACCCUUCAGAGGAGGACAACCUCAGGAAACUGAGGCUAAACCUUCAUACGUUCACUGGUAGGGAUACUGGUGAAGAAAGAGUUACCUUAGUGGUAGCUGCUGAAGGAUGAGCCUGCGGCCCAUCAGGUAGUUGGUGAGGUAACGGCUCACCAAGCCGAAGACGGGUAACCGGUCUGAGAGGAUGUCCGGUCACACUGGGACUGAGACACGGCCCAGACUCCUACGGGAGGCAGCAGCAGGGAAUCUUGGGCAAUGGGCGAAAGCCUGACCCAGCGACGCCGCGUGGAGGAAGAAGUCCUUCGGGGCGUAAACUCCUGGACUGGGGGACGAGGAAGGACGGUACCCCAGUAGAAAGGGACGGCUAACUACGUGCCAGCAGCCGCGGUAAAACGUAGGUCCCGAGCGUUGUUCGGAUUCACUGGGUGUAAAGGGCGCGUAGGUGGUUGUCUGUGUCUCAUGUGAAAACUCAGGGCUCAACUCUGAGAUUGCGUGGGAAACUAGGCAGCUAGAGGACGGUAGAGGGGAGUGGAAUUCCCGGUGUAGCGGUAAAAUGCGUAGAUAUCGGGAGGAACACCGGUGGCGAAGGCGGCUCUCUGGGCCGAUCCUGACGCUGAGGCGCGAAAGCUAGGGGAGCGAACCGGAUUAGAUACCCGGGUAGUCCUAGCCGUAAACGAUGGGUGCUAGGUGUUGGGGGGGUAAAGACCCUUCAGUGCCGAAGCCAACGCGAUAAGCAUCCCACCUGGGGAGUACGGCCGCAAGGUUGAAACUCAAAUGAAUUGACGG